UACGACUAUAUCACAUGAAGCAUUACUUCCCGUACGAUCACUGAAGGUAAACAACGUUGAGUCUGUUGAGUACCAAGAUGGAUGACCGGUUGGGAAUACCAGGUGCUGAA